AGAGUUUGAUCCUGGCUCAGAUUGAACGCUGGCGGCAGGCCUAACACAUGCAAGUCGAACGGUAACAGGAAACAGCUUGCUGUUCGCUGACGAGUGGCGGACGGGUGAGUAAUGUCUAGGGAAACUGCCUGAUGGAGGGGGAUAACUACUGGAAACGGUAGCUAAUACCGCAUAACGUCGCAAGACCAAAGAGGGGGACCCUCGGGCCUCUUGCCAUCGGAUGUGCCCAGAUGGGAUUAGCUUGUUGGUGGGGUAACGGCUCACCAAGGCGACGAUCCCUAGCUGGUCUGAGAGGAUGACCAGCCACACUGGAACUGAGACACGGUCCAGACUCCUACGGGAGGCAGCAGUGGGGAAUAUCGCACAAUGGGCGCAAGCCUGAUGCAGCCAUGCCGCGUGUAUGAAGAAGGCCUUCGGUUGUAAAGUACUUCAGCGGGAGGAAGGGAGUAAAGUUAAUACCUUUGCUCAUUGACGUUACCCGCAGAAGAAGCACCGGCUAACUCCGUA
rnacentral:rRNA from 1 species